AUUGAACGCUGGCGGCAUGCUUUACACAUGCAAGUCGAACGGCAGCGCGGGCUUCGGCCUGGCGGCGAGUGGCGAACAGGUGAGUAAUGCAUCGGAACGUGCCCAGUAGUGGGGGAUAGCCCGGCGAAAGCCGGAUUAAUACCGCAUACGACCUGAGGGUGAAAGCGGGGGACCGAAAGGCCUCGCGCUAUUGGAGCGGCCGAUGUCGGAUUAGCUAGUUGGUGGGGUAAAGGCUUACCAAGGCGACGAUCCGUAGCUGGUCUGAGAGGACGACCAGCCACACUGGGACUGAGACACGGCCCAGACUCCUACGGGAGGCAGCAGUGGGGAAUUUUGGACAAUGGGGGCAACCCUGAUCCAGCCAUGCCGCGUGCGGGAAGAAGGCCUUCGGGUUGUAAACCGCUUUUGUUCGGGAAGAAAUCCUCUGGGCUAAUACCCCGGGGGGAUGACGGUACCGGAAGAAUAAGCACCGGCUAACUACG
rnacentral:rRNA from 1 species